UACGUAGGGUGCAAGCGUUGUCCGGAAUUAUUGGGCGUAAAGAGCUCGUAGGCGGUCUGUCGCGUCGGCUGUGAAAUCCCGAGGCUCAACCUCGGGUCUGCAGUCGAUACGGGCAAACUAGAGUAUUGCAGGGGAGACUGGAAUUCCUGGUGUAGCGGUGGAAUGCGCAGAUAUCAGGAGGAACACCAGUGGCGAAGGCGGGUCUCUGGGCAAUAACUGACGCUGAGGAGCGAAAGCGUGGGGAGCGAACAGG
rnacentral:rRNA from 1 species